GUAAACUUGGAUUAGAUACCCUAUUAUUUUUAUUGUAAAAUUUUAAACUUGAGUAUUAGUAGUUAAGAUCUUGAAACUUAAAGAAUUUGGCGGUAUUAUAGUCUAUUUAGAGGAAUCUGUUAUGUAAUCGAUAGUCCACGUUGAACCUUACUUAUAUUAUUUCUUGUAUACCGCUGUUUGAGAAUAUACUUUUAGGUUAUUUUCUUAAUAUAUUAUUAAUUAAAAUUUCAGGUCAAGGUGCAGUAAUAUGUAAGUUGAAUAAUGGAUUACAAUAAAUUUUAUUUAUAUGGAUUAUUAUUGAAAUAUAAUUUGAAGGUGGAUUUAAUUGUAAUUUUUUAAAGAUUAUUAAAAUGAUUAAUAGCUCUAUAAUAUGUACACAUCGCCCGUCGCUCUCGUUAUUAAGAUGAGAUAAGUCGUAACAUAGUAA
rnacentral:rRNA from 1 species